AGCCCUGCUGUUCCCUGCACCGCGCGCCCCCCCGGGCGGGAGGGGCGGGGGCAAGCUCUGUCCCGGCCGGCGCUGAUCUUACGCUCCCAUUGGCCGCUGUCUGCGCUGACGUCACGAUCAUGAUGAGAAUUAAUGAUCGGAGGCGCUGAUUUCAUUGUGUGACGCCGGGACCGACCCAGCCGAAACCGGCUGAAUCCGGAGCCCCGAGCCCCCCAGCGCAGCCCCGCGGAGCACGAUGAAUCUGCGUUCUGUAUUUACUGUAGAACAACAAAGGAUAUUACAGCGUUAUUAUGAAAAUGGAAUGACAAAUCAAAGUAAAAAUUGCUUUCAGCUCAUAUUACAGUGUGCACAAGAAACUAAACUGGACUUCAGUGUAGUCAGGACGUGGGUUGGCAAUAAAAGAAGAAAGAUGAGCAGCAAGAAUGCUGUAGAGUCAGGAGGCACUCCCCCGGGGACUGUCCCUGCUACACCCUCAGUACCUCCAGAAGCAGCAGUUAGAAACGUGGUAAAUAUUACUCGAUCCCAAAGUCAGCAGUCUUCUUGGACCUCUUCUAAUAAUGAUGUAAUAGUUACUGGUAUAUACAGUCCUGCUAGUUCAUCUAGUAGGCAAGGAUCCACCAAACAGACAAAUGCAUCAGUAGCAGAGAUACAUAAAAACUCUAUUCCGAGACUAUCAGGAAAAAGUGAUACAGAAUUUCAGCAGCAGCACAUCCCUAUAGGACGACAAGUACCACAUUGUAAAAAUGCUUCCCUAUUAGUAGGGGAAAAGACUAUUAUUUUAUCUAGGCAAACAAGUGUGUUGAAUUCUGCGAACUCCAUAUAUAGUCACACUAAGAAAAGUUAUGGUGGUUCAUCAGUCCAGACUGCAGAGUUGGUAUUACCUCAGAAGCCAGUGAUAUGCCACAGACCAUGUAAAGCUGAAUCCGUGGGAUGUCAAAGGUUACAAAAAUCAGAACAUGCAACUCUUGCAUCGCAUAUGCCCCUUGGACAAAGGGCUAAUACUAGGGACCCUUCUUGUAGCACCCAAAACCUGGAAAUUCGUGAGGUGUUUUCACUGGCAGUGACAGAUCAACCUCAGAGAACUGUGGGAGGAAGUACAGCACAGAAGCAUUGUUCAGUGGAAGGCAGCUGUCUCUCCAUUGCAAUGGAAACUGGAGAUGUUGAUGAUGAAUAUGCUAGAGAAGAAGAACUAGCAUCCAUGGGAGCACAAAUACAAAGCUAUUCAAGAUAUUGUGAAAGUAACAGCUCUGUUCGCAUAGAGAACCAAAGUGCAGCGCUCUCUGGGCCGGGAAGAAAUGUGAGCUGUAGUUCGCAGAUGGUGAAUGCCAGGGAUGUGCCUGACAAUAUAUUGUAUCAUAACAGAGACUACCAUUUGCCUGCACGGACCUCAUUACAUACAGCAUCCAAUACGUUAUAUAACAGUGCUAAUACAUCAAGAAGUACUUUUUCUCCUCAUUUUACAUCUUCAAGUCAACUGAGGCUGUCUCAAAACCAAAAUAAUUACCAGAUUUCAGGAAACCUUACUGUGCCUUGGAUUACAGGUUGUUCCAGAAAAAGAGCAUUACAGGACCGCACACAGUUUAGUGACCGAGACUUGGCUACCCUAAAGAAAUACUGGGACAAUGGCAUGACCAGCCUGGGCUCAGUCUGCAGAGAGAAAAUUGAAGCUGUUGCUGCAGAAUUAAAUGUUGACUGUGAAAUAGUGCGGACGUGGAUUGGGAAUCGAAGACGGAAAUAUCGUUUAAUGGGGAUUGAGGUCCCACCCCCUAGAGGAGGUCCUGCUGAUUUCUCUGAUCAAUCUGAAUUUGUUUCUAAAUCAGCACUUAAUCCGGGAGAGGAAACUGCUACUGAAGUGGGGGAUGAUAAUGAUAGGAAUGAUGAAGUAUCAAUCUGCUUAUCUGAAGGAAGCUCACAAGAAGAGACAAAUGACACUCUUCAAAAUGAAGAAAUCGGUCACAAAGAAGACGACCAGAAUCCAGCAUGUACUGAUAAUGUGAAAAUAGAAAUUAUAGAUGAUGAAGAGAGUGAUAUGAUAAGCAAUUCUGAAGUGGAUCAAAUGAGUUCUCUCUUGGAUUACAAGAAUGAAGAAGUCAGAUUCAUUGAAAAUGAGUUGGAGAAUCACAAACAGAAGUAUUUUGAACUACAGUCAUUUACUCGCAGUUUGAUACUUGCUAUUAAAUCAGAUGAUAAAGAACAGCAGCAGGCACUGCUGUCAGACUUACCUCCUGAGUUAGAAGAAAUGGAUUUCAAUCAUGCAUCCCCAGAACCUGAUGAUACCUCAUUCAGUUUGUCAUCAUUAUCUGAGAAAAAUGCCUCAGACAGUUUGUGACUUUCUUUUUUUAUUGACAAGAAAGAAAAGACUGCUUAACAUGGACACCAUCGCUCUGGUGUAGUUUCCACCAGAUUGUUGUCGCCAUGCUCAAGCUGUGCUGGGAUGACUCAGGUUCUCCCUGGCAAUUGCCCUCAAGGGCAUCCCCACUGAUGGGUGGGUUGUCCGGUCUACAGGCCAACUGAUGGUGAGUCUGAGUCCACACAGAGCAAUCUUUCUGAAUGGUUUUGAAGACGACGACCCUGGCAUUCUGAGUCGUGGUCCACUCAUCAUUAUAACAAACACCUUGAUGCUCAUUGCUGUUGUGGUCGUCUUCAGAUUCUGCAUUUGGAUUUGCUUCCAACUCAAAGACAGCAAAGAAAUGUCUCCAGAGGAUGAUGCCGAGACACUUGCUCGCCAGAACCUUUGCCAUUGCGGAGGGGUGAGUCCUGUCCUGCCUCCAGGACUAAAAGCUCCAUCCAAGCAAGUCCCUUCAAACCUCCCCCUCUUCAAACUCGCACCAGCAGAAAGCUCAUCCGCUGGUGUGUGAUUCCCAGCUCCACAGGACUGUGCAGUGUUCCUGCUCCAGGUGCGCUUCUCCAAGCGCAGCGAGCAUAGAGAUCGGGAGCAUCGGGGAUGACAAGGAUGAAAACCUCUACAGCAGCGUUAUUCUUUCAUCCCUGCCUCCUCCACUGCCCACAGAUGAGUUCAGCAGAAGCUCUUCUGUUGACAGUGCCGCAAUGCAGGAGGAGAACACUGCAAACGCAGGUGCACCUGGCAUGGACGGAGCUGGAGCAGAGAUCAGCGACGAGGCCUGAGCGGGCGGCCGGCCGGGCUGGGCACCCCGACGCUGGGUGAGACGGGGGCGCGUGGUGGGAAAUGGGCAUCGGGGCUGCUGAGGUACAAGAGUGACACUGACGCUCCAAAGCACGUCAGCCAGAGCCCAGCAGAGCCCCGGCCCGUUUGCCCACAGACCCACCUACUCCCACGCCCGCGACUCCGCUGCCCGACACCAAGAGUCUGCUGCCACUGCCCAGCCCCAGCGCCUGCUCCCGCGCGCGCCCGCGCAGCCCCGACACCAGGGCAUGGACCGUGCCGUCCCUCCGCCCGCCUGCCACGCUGCCCUGCACCGUCCUGGCCGGCGCCAUCGCCACCCUCGGCCGCCUGCACCAGGAGGCAACUGGGCAAUAAAGAUCAAGUGGAGGCCGAGCUCACGCGGCGCCCGAGUGCUGUUUCCUGAGAGCAGCUCUUGGCGGGUGAUCCCUGCCGCCCGCAGCCCCCGGGGCACAGAGCCCCUCGGCUCUCACACGCUCGCACAUCGACGCUGCGGACCCCAUGGCGUGGGCUGGCAUCGCCCCUGUGCGAGAAGGAGCGCUCUUCUCUUUUAAACUAUGUACAUAUCUUAUUAGUAAUAAAGCCAAUGAGGCUGGAAACCAGCACUGGAAUCAGUGAAAUAUGACAAGAGAUUUUGGUAUCAUUGAAUAGGCAUAUGGAAGCAAUCAUUUCCUUGCACAGAAGAAAUCUUCAUAGAAAUCAGUAUUAUUAUCAUGUUACAUACUCAAGAUUUAUUCUCUAAAUGCACUUGCAUGGUUAGAUGGAUAGGAUUUAGAAGGGAAGGUUGAAGAAAUUGAAUUGAGACAAACUGAAAAGUAAUUUCCAAAUAAAGGAUAUAUAGCUGACAUGAAGUAUUUAGUAACAGAUUUGGAGGUGCUCUGAAACUGGAUGUUUUGGGGAAAAGAAAAUCCGAACUGUGAUGAGCUGUGUUGCUGAACUGCCACCUGGUGGCAAAGAAUUCACAAUACAGAAUUGAAAAAAAUAAUUGCCUUAAAAACGUUCUCACAUUUUUUAUAUAUUAGAAUGUGCAACGAUUUUUAAUUAAAUUAAAUACUUAAUGUUUAAACUCAGGAAUGAGAUGUUUGGAAAUCAGGACAUUGAGAUUAGACUGAAUGCUCCAUCUUAACUCUGCUCUUUUAUUUAUGCAUGAAAAUUGUAGCUUACAGUAGUAAGUGCGCAUGUGUAUUUGUGUGCACACAUAUGCAUGUGCACCUGUAGAGGUACAAAGAGAAGAAGGUCUAAUAUGACUGGAGUUCUGUGUCCUUAAUAGUAUUUUCAGAUCUGGCAUUGCUUUCAAGUUUUGGUAAGAUCAUCCAUUGAAAUCAAACUAUUUUUGUGAUUUUUAUUAUUAUUCUCCUGUAACUUAUGAGGUUAGUAAAUUGAGGGGGAGGGGCAAGGGGCGAUUCAAAUCCAGUGCAAUUUUAUCAUGUUAAAGUAUCAGGAGAGCUUUGUCUGUGAACUCAUUUCAUCUGCCGAUUUCACAGUGAAAUGUUUGUGUGUUGUUUAGGGGAACAGGGUAAAAGAGAAAGGAAGUAAAGGAGAUGAAACACUCAGACAAAUACUUAUACAUUGAAUAUUCUGAAUCUUUUGGAUUUGUUGGGCACUGAAAAUUAAUAGGCAAACAUUUCUCUUAUAGCAAGAGGAUGUUUUCCUGAAACUUGCACAGGAGUUUCCGUCAUGUGAAUGACCCCUUGGACAGAGGUUUAACUGUUGAGGUGAUGUUGUGAAACAAUUUGCAGACUGGGUUUUGAUUACUGUAUGUUGGAGCAGUAUCUGAAAGAGCCUGCCUAUUAUUCAAAGCUCACUUUUACUCAACUUUUGGUCUUCCUUCUGGGGUUUUUUUCUGGGCUUCUGACAUUGGAGAUUGCAACUCUCCUGCCUUGAUUAAUUCAGCCCUGCUGGCCAGGUCUACUGGGGAGACUUAUGUGUAACAUUUUCCUUUUUGUUUAGUUUACUUUGGGGAAAAAAUGCUGUAGUAGAAAUAGUGUCAAAAUGAUCCUAAGAUAGCUAUGCCUCCAAGGUUAAUUUGAUAUUUCUCUUCACAGAAACCAGUACUUUAAAACAACUGAAUCAGCUGUGC